rnacentral:rRNA from 1 species
UACACGAGCGGCGGACGGCUGAGUAACACGUAGGAACGUACCCCAAAGUGAGGGAUAAGCACCGGAAACGGUGUCUAAUACCGCAUGUGCUCUUCGGAGUAAAGCUACGGCGCUUUGGGAACGGCCUGCGCAUGAUUAGCUUGUUGGUGAGGUAAAAGCUCACCAAGGCGACGAUCAUUAGCUGGUCUGAGAGGAUGAUCAGCCAGACUGGGACUGAGAACGGCCCAGACUCCUACGGGAGGCAGCAGUAGGGAAUUUUCCACAAUGGACGAAAGUCUGAUGGAGCAACGCCGCGUGCAGGAUGAAGGGUUUCGGCUCGUAAACUGCUUUUAUCUGUGACGAUUAUGACGGUAGCAGAUGAAUAAGGAUCGGCUAACUCC